CCGGUUGAUCCUGCCGGAGGCUACCGCUAUUGGAGUUCGAUUAAGCCAUGCGAGUCGUGAGUCCUAGGGACUCGGCGUACCGCUCAGUAACACGUGGGUAACCUGCCCUAUGCUGGGGGAUAACCUCGGGAAACUGAGAAUAAUACCCCAUAGUUCACCACGCCUGGAACGGUGGGUGGAUGAAAGCUCCGGCGGCAUAGGAUGGGCCUGCGGCGUAUCAGGUUGUAGGGGGUGUAAUGUACCCUCUAGCCAUCUACGCGUACGGGUGUUGAGAGACAUCGCCCGGAGAUGGAUUCUGAGACACGAAUCCAGACCCUACGGGGUGCAGCAGGCGCGAAAACUUGGCAAUGCGAGCAAUCGUGACCAGGGAACUCCAAGUGCAUCGGGUAAGACCGAUGCUUUUCUUGACUCUUCAAAGGUCUUGGAAUAAGAGGUGGGUAAGGACGGUGCCAGCCGCCGCGGUAAUACCGGCGCCUCAAGUGGUAGUCGCUUUUAUUGGGCCUAAAACGUCCGUAGCCGGUUUGGUACAUUCGUGGGUAAAUCAAGACGCUCAACGUCUUGAAUUCUGCGAGCACGGCCAGACUUGGGACCGGGUGAGGUGUGGGGUACUCUCAGGGUAGGGGUAAAAUCCUGUCAUCCUGAGGGGACCACCUGUUGCGAAGGCGCCACACUAGAACGGAUCCGACGGUCAGGGACGAAGCCUAGGGGCACGAACCGGAUUAGAUACCCGGGUAGUCCUAGGUGUAAACGCUGUGGACUUGAUGUUGGGAGUGCUCCGAGCACCCUCAGUGUCGAAGCGAAGGUGAUAAGUCCACUGCCUGGGGAGUACGGUCGCAAGGCUGAAACUUAAAGGAAUUGGCGGGGGAGCACUGCAACCUGAGGAUUGUGCGGUUUAAUUGGAUCAACGCCGGG
rnacentral:rRNA from 1 species